CCUACGGGUGGCAGCAGUAGGGAAUUUUCGUCAAUGGGCGCAAGCCUGAACGAGCAAUGCCGCGUGCACGAGGAAGGUCUUCGGAUCGUAAAGUUCUGUUGACGGGGAAAAAGAGCGCAGUAAGGAAAUGCUUUCUGAUUGAUCUUACCCUUCGAGGCAGUCCCGUCUAACUACGUGCCAGCAGCCGCGGAAAUACGUAGGUGGCGAGCGUUAUCCGGAAUGAUUGGGCGUAAGGGGUGCGUAGGCGGCCUGCAAGGUCUGGGGUGAAAGGUACCGGCCCAACCGGUACAUGCACUGGAAACUGGCGGGCUAGAGAGCAGGAGAGGGCGGUGGAACUCCAGGUGUAGCGGUAAAAUGCGUAGAGAUAUGGAAGAACACCAGUGGCGAAGGCGGCCUGCUGGACUGUGACUGACGCUGAGGCGCGAAAGCGUGGGGAGCAAAUAGGAUUAGAUACCCCUGUAGUC
rnacentral:rRNA from 1 species